rnacentral:lncRNA from 1 species
GAACUGCACACGUGAGGGGUCUAGGUUUUGUGUUCCUGAUGAGAAUCUAACGCUUGAUGAUCUGUUACUGUCUCCCAUCACCCCCAGAUGGGACCAUCUAUUUGCAGGAAAACAAGCUCAGGGCUCCCACUGAUUCUGCACGACGAAACCGGUCCCUGGUGCCAGGAAGGGUGGGGAUCACUGCAUUAACCCAUCUGAUUUGAAGAGGAUCCUGUAAGGUCAGCAUGGAGAGUUCACCUUGUACACUCCAUAGCAUUUUCUGCACUUCCCUUUGCCACACCAUCUAUCAGCUCAGGAAGCUGAGGAUUUCCUCCUUCCAUCUGAUGCAGGGGCAGAAUCUUACCCAUCAUCUCUGCUACCCUCCAUAUGACUGUUCUUACCUGAACACCUGUAUAGGUGCCACUAGUCACGCUGAAAGCCGGCAUGUUCCUGGGGACAGAUGCCAGACAGGAAGCAGUGAAAGGCUGGUUAAAUAUUCUUUUGAAACUCCAGCUGGCAUGUUCGCCAUGGAACCAUUUUUCCCCUCCUGGGAGGAGCCCAGGGUUUGUAAGAAUUCAGCUUCAUGAAAUGGCUGCUCCUCUUCUACCUCUUAGGAGGGGAAUUUCUGAGCACCAUCCGUCUGUUUGCGUGUUCUGUCCCCAGCUUCAGAUAACAAACUCAAUAAAAUCCUACUACAAAUAU